GCGUGACAGCGAGCUUGACGUAGGAGAAGCAGAAGAGAAAUUGCAGCCAUGUGGUUAUCCCGAUUGCAGCUAUAAUCAUGGAGAUGACGGGUUGCUACGAGUGACCGGAUAUCUGAAAAUCUUAUAGCACAGAGCCUGGCACAUGGAGAACUGUGAAUACUUCCUACCACAACUGUACAACAACCAUGUUACUUCUAUUUCCAUCAUUACGAGGUUCCUUGACGUCUAUGAAUGAUGUCUGCCUCAUGUCCUUCCUGGCUGCUGACUGACAGAACAGAGGAGGUGUAAAUAUCUCACACUUGGCAAAGAGAAUGGCUUCAUCUACAUUCCUCCCAAUAUUUAUCAAAAUCCCUGCUCUGGCUGGUGCUGUAGCUCAGUGGUAGAGAGCUGCUUGCCUAGCAUGUGAGAGGCCGUGGGUUCCAUCCCCCUAAAAAAAAAAAAAAUCUCCAGGGAAAUGGACCUGGAGGCCUUCCUGCCACAUAUGAUUUCCCAAUCAUUUCUCCUGAUACUUUAAACUGCCCCAGAACAGCAGGGAGUGGGAAUGUGUCUAAACUCUCAUAGUAUUCAAUCUGUUUGCUCCCUGUGUAAUAUUCUGGGUCCCACCCUCAACCCAUAUUGCAGGGCUGUUUAGAAUGGGGUUUAUUAAGCAGCACUGCCUUCUUCAGGAGGACCCCUGAGGCACUGCCUUUUUGGUUUUAGGACCAGAAAUCAGGGGCUUUGGUAGAACAAUGGAAGUAGGGUAAGUGGCUACUACAAAGCCUCUUUCAAUUGCUGUGAAAGCCUCUUUCAAUGUGCCCUGCGGGCUAUAGCUUGAUAACAGGUUCCACUUUUGGUUCUUUUAUUUUCCUAGCACCUUCCUUUUUCUUCUUUUUAACAGUCUCCUUGUAAUAUUGGCUACAUAUCUGUCAGUAUCUAGUAAAUCCAUUUGGAGCUAGGCAGGGAGAAAUUAGUCAAUCAAUCAGAAAUCUACCAAAACAAGGCAGAAUGAAAUGAUAAUGGUCCCUGGCUUUUACCAAAUGCUUUCUACCUGCCAGGUAUAAUGCCAGACAUUUAUUUCAUACUUGAUAUUAUUAUUUUUAAUCUCCAGAAUGUGCUCAGGUAGAAGUUAUGACUGCUGUGUUUACAAAUGAGGAAACUGCUAUGUCAGGCUGAAGUAUUUUACCCAAGGUUCAGUGGCCAGGUUCCUAGACCACCUGACUUCCAGAUUCUAACCAGUGGCUUCUGAUGUCAUCCUUAGGGGUCGGGAGAGGUUAGAGCUGGAUGCAGUGGAGACAGUAAGGCAGCAGCCUGAAAGGUGGGUUUGGGUGCCCAUGCAGUUAUCUUAUAUAAAUGAUUUGUGUGACUCCCAUUAUUAAUUUUUUUUACUUACAGAUCUCAAAUCUCAAAUCUGUACUCUUAGUAUUUAUGUAUAUUUCUGGAUAUGAAGUAUCUUAUCACAUAAAAUUUAAAUAGUGAAACUAAGCAUGCUUAUAGACUUUUAAUGUAAUUGGUACUUCAGAACUUUUUGUUCACUUACUAUUGUAGCAGCAAACAGUAUUAAGUGUAAUUGUGGUUCUCUGUAUCUAUUAAUUAGCCAUUAACAGUACAUGUACAGAUUAUGUACAAUUUUAAUGUUAUUGCUAAAUUAUUUUUACUUAAUAAUGAAUAUAUUUGUUGGAAUAUAA